UACGGAGGGUGCGAGCGUUAAUCGGAAUUACUGGGCGUAAAGCGCGCGUAGGCGGUCUGAUCAGCCGGUUGUGAAAGCCCCGGGCUCAACCUGGGAACGGGCAUCCGGAACUGUCAGGCUAGAGUGCAGGAGAGGAAGGUAGAAUUCCCGGUGUAGCGGUGAAAUGCGUAGAGAUCGGGAGGAAUACCAGUGGCGAAGGCGGCCUUCUGGACUGACACUGACGCUGAGGUGCGAAAGCGUGGGUAGCAAACAGGAUUAGAUACCCUGGUA
rnacentral:rRNA from 1 species